AAAAAAACAAAAACAAAACAACUUAUCGAUUCAAUAACAUACAAUCUGUUUGACAGAGAUAUAGAAGAAGAGAAGAUUGACAAUGUCAACUUUGAGCAUACCUCCAGUGAUACCAUCACCUCGAGAAGAUGCUGUCAAGCUGCAUAAAGCUUUCAAAGGUCUUGGUUGUGACACGUCUAAAGUUAUCAACAUCUUAGCUCAUAGAAAUGGAGAACAACGAAGUCUAAUUCAACAAGAAUAUGAAACCACCUUCUCUGAACUGCUUUCCAA
rnacentral:sRNA from 1 species